GAUGAACGCUGGCGGCGUGCCUAAUACAUGCAAGUCGAGCGAAUGGAUUGAGAGCUUGCUCUUAUGAAGUUAGCGGCGGACGGGUGAGUAACACGUGGGUAACCUGCCCAUAAGACUGGGAUAACUCCGGGAAACCGGGGCUAAUACCGGAUAACAUUUUGAACCGCAUGGUUCGAACUUGAAAGGCGGCUUCGGCUGUCACCUAUGGAUGGACCCGUGUCGGAUUAGCUCGUUGGGGAGGUAACGGCUCACCAAGGCAACGAUGCGUAGCCGACCUGAGAGGGUGAUCGGCCACACUGGGACUGAGACACGGCCCAGACUCCUACGGGAGGCAGCAGUAGGGAAUCUUCCGCAAUGGACGAAAGUCUGACGGAGCAACGCCGCGUGAGUGAUGAAGGCUUUCGGGUCGUAAAACUCUGUUGUUAGGGAAGAACAAGUGCUAGUUGAAUAAGCUGGCACCUUGACGGUACCUAACCAGAAAGCCACGGCUAACUACGUGCCAGCCGCCGCGGUAA
rnacentral:rRNA from 1 species